AUACGGGGGGGGCAAGCGUUGUCCGGAAUUACUGGGCGUAAAGGGCGUGCAGGCGGAUAGAUCAGUCUGGGGUGAAAUCCUACAGCUUAACUGUAGAACUGCCUUUGAUACUGUCUAUCUUGAGUUCGGGAGAGGGAAGCGGAAUUCCUGGUGUAGCGGUGAAAUGCGUAGAUAUCAGGAAGAACACCGGUAGCGAAGGCGGCUUCCUGGCCCGAAACUGACGCUGAAGCGCGAAAGCGUGGGGAGCAAACAGGAUUAGAAACCCUAGUAGUCC
rnacentral:rRNA from 1 species